GUAGCCCUGCAAAAUUACUGAAUGUGGCUAAAUAACGAACCUCUUUGAGUUAUACAGUUUUUUAACGGCAGAAUUAUGUCUUUAGCACUUGUAAUAAGUUCAAAGUUUUUAUCGAAACCUGAAACAUUUUGCCCCUACAGUGUUGAUCAGCAUUAAAUAUUUUUUGCAUCCCCUCUGCCUCGACGUUUAGCAUUGGAUUUAUUGGGUUCCUAGCGUGUAUUGACCAAUUUCAUCCAUUCUAUUAUGUUUAUGCAGAGGCUUAGGCAAAU
rnacentral:lncRNA from 1 species